rnacentral:rRNA from 1 species
AAUGAACGCUGGCGGUAGGCCUAACACAUGCAAGUCGAACGGCAGCACAGUAAGAGCUUGCUCUUACGGGUGGCGAGUGGCGGACGGGUGAGGAAUACAUCGGAAUCUACUUUUUCGUGGGGGAUAACGUAGGGAAACUUACGCUAAUACCGCAUACGACCUACGGGUGAAAGCAGGGGAUCUUCGGACCUUGCGCGAUUGAAUGAGCCGAUGUCGGAUUAGCUAGUUGGCGGGGUAAAGGCCCACCAAGGCGACGAUCCGUAGCUGGUCUGAGAGGAUGAUCAGCCACACUGGAACUGAGCCACGGUCCAGACUCCUACGGGAGGCAGCAGUGGGGAAUAUUGGACAAUGGGCGCAAGCCUGAUCCAGCCAUACCGCGUGGGUGAAGAAGGCCUUCGGGUUGUAAAGCCCUUUUGUUGGGAAAGAAAAGCAGCAGGUUAAUACCCCGCUGUUCUGACGGUACCCAAAGAAUAAGCACCGGCUAACUUCGUG